GUUCCCACUUGACUACCACAUUUUCUCCUAUUGAUAGAUUUUAGUGGCUAUGCUUGUGGGAGAGAGUAAAAUAGCCAUGAUCUGAAGUGGGAGGAUUUCUCUGUAUCCUCCUCCUAUAUGAAAUGGCUGAACAGAAAAAA